CAGUAGCCGCGGUAAUACGAGGGGGGCAAGCGUUGUUCGGAAUUAUUGGGCGUAAAGGGUGCGUAGGCGGCUUGACAAGUCUUGUGUGAAAUCUAUGGGCUCAACCCAUAGUCUGCACGGGAAACUGUCGGGCUUGAGAAUGGGAGAGGUGAGUGGAAUUUCCGGUGUAGCGGUGAAAUGCGUAGAUAUCGGAAGGAACACCUGUGGCGAAAGCGGCUCACUGGACCAUUUCUGACGCUGAUGCACGAAAGCUAGGGGAGCAAUCAGGAUUAGAGACCCCAGUAGUCCCUGUCUCUUAUAC
rnacentral:rRNA from 1 species